rnacentral:rRNA from 1 species
AGUGAACGCUGGCGGUAGGCCUAACACAUGCAAGUCGAACGGCAGCACAGUAAGAGCUUGCUCUUACGGGUGGCGAGUGGCGGACGGGUGAGGUAUACAUCGGAAUCUACUUUUUCGUGGGGGAUAACGUAGGGAAACUUACGCUAAUACCGCAUACGACCUACGGGUGAAAGCAGGGGAUCUUCGGACCUUGCGCGAUUGAAUGAGCCGAUGUCGGAUUAGCUAGUUGGCGGGGUAAAGGCCCACCAAGGCGACGAUCCGUAGCUGGUCUGAGAGGAUGAUCAGCAACACUGGAACUGAGACAAGGUCCAGACUCCUACGGGAGGCAGCAGUGGGGAAUAUUGGACAAUGGGAGCAAGCCUGAUCCAGCCAUACCGCGUGGGUGAAGAAGGCAUUCGGGUUGUAAAGCCCUUUUGUUGGGAAAGAAAAGCAGAAGGUUAAUACCCCGCUGUUCUGACGGUACCCAAAGAAUAAGCACCGGCUAACUUCGUG